rnacentral:rRNA from 1 species
AUUGAACGCUGGCGGCAGGCCUAACACAUGCAAGUCGAGCGGAUGAGGGGAGCUUGCUCCCUGAUUUAGCGGCGGACGGGUGAGUAAUGCGUAGGAAGCUGCCCGAUAGAGGGGGAUACCAGUUGGAAACGACUGUUAAUACCGCAUAAUGUCUACGGACCAAAGUGUGGGACCUUCGGGCCACAUGCUAUCAGAUGCGCUUACGUGGGAUUAGCUAGUUGGUGAGGUAAUGGCUCACCAAGGCGACGAUCUCUAGCUGGUUUGAGAGGAUGAUCAGCCACACUGGAACUGAGACACGGUCCAGACUCCUACGGGAGGCAGCAGUGGGGAAUAUUGGACAAUGGGCGCAAGCCUGAUCCAGCCAUGCCGCGUGUGUGAAGAAGGCCUUCGGGUUGUAAAGCACUUUCAGCGAGGAGGAAGGGUGGUGUGUUAAUAGCACAUCAUUUUGACGUUACUCGCAGAAGAAGCACCGGCUAACUCUGUGCCAGCAGCCGCCGUAAUAC